AUUAGAAUGGCAGAAGUAUAGGCAUAAAAUUUAGAAUUUUAUAAUGAGAAUAAAUGGAAACUCUUCUAAUU
rnacentral:tRNA from 1 species